GGUAGCCCAUUUAAAAAUUAAAUCAAAGACACCCUCCCAUUUUUAUAAAAUUUCGUAGCCCAAAAUACAAGGGCAGCCCAAGUUUAUUAUAAAUAAAUCGGGCCCAACUCUUUUGAAUUAAAACUGCACCCCAAAAUCCUUAAAUAAAAUAAAAGCCCAACUAAAUAAAUAGACAUGGCCCAAGUCAAACUCACCCUCAAGCCCAAACCUAAAGCCCAACAUUAGCCCAACACUAGCCCAACACCCAAGCCCACUCCCCAACCAAGCCCUAAGUCUUCCUCCCCUCUUCUUCUCCCCCAUAAAUCGCACAACACUCACACACACAUAGCAGAUGCGCAGCAACACUCUCCUCUCCCUCUCUCGGCUCCCUCGAAUUUCCGCCGCCGCGGCUCCUCCUCCGGCGACUGGCCGCCGCCCGUCGACUCACCACAUCAUCUUCCUCUCUCCUUUACU
rnacentral:lncRNA from 1 species